UGGGGAAUAUUGCACAAUGGGGGAAACCCUGAUCCAGCCAUGCCGCGUGUGUGAAGAAGGCCUUUUGGUUGUAAAGCACUUUAAGCAGUGAAGAAGACUCCAUGGUUAAUACCCAUGGACGAUGACAUUAGCUGCAGAAUAAGCACCGGCUAACUCUGUG
rnacentral:rRNA from 1 species